AAUGGUGUGGAGGUAACCCCAACAACAGAACGGUGUGGAGGUAACCCCAACAACAGAACGGUGUGGAGGUAACCCCAACAACAGAAUGGUGUGGAGGUAACCCCAACAACAGAACGGUGUGGAGGUAACCCCAACAACAGAACGGUGUGGAGGUAACCCCAACAACAGAACGGUGUGGAGGUAACCCCAACAACAGAAUGGUGUGGAGGUAACCCCAACAACAGAACGGUGUGGAGGUAACCCCAACAACAGAACGGUGUGGAGGUAUCCCCAACAACAGAACGGUGUGGAGGUAACCCCAACAACAGAACGGUGUGGAGGUAACCCCAACAACAGAACGGUGUGGAGGUAACCCCAACAACAGAACGGUGUGGAGGUAACCCCAACAACAGAACGGUGUGGAGGUAACCCCAACAACAGAACGGUGUGGAGGUAACCCCAACAACAGAACGGUGUGGAGGUAACCCCAACAACAGAACGGUGUGGAGGUAACCCCAACAACAGAACGGUGUGGAGGUAACCCCAACAACAGAACGGUGUGGAGGUAACCCCAACAACAGAACGGUGUGGAGGUAACCCCAACAACAGAACGGUGUGGAGGUAUCCCCAACAACAGAACGGUGUGGAGGUAACCCCAACAACAGAACGGUGUGGAGGUAUCCCCAACAACAGAACGGUGUGGAGGUAACCCCAACAACAGAACGGUGUGGAGGUAACCCCAACAACAGAACGGUGUGGAGGUAACCCCAACAACAGAACGGUGUGGAGGUAACCCCAACAACAGAACGGUGUGGAGGUAUCCCCAACAACAGAACGGUGUGGAGGUAACCCCAACAACAGAACGGUGUGGAGGUAACCCCAACAACAGAACGGUGUGGAGGUAACCCCAACAACAGAACGGUGUGGCGGUAUCCCCAACCACAGAACUGGACAGUUACUUUAAAUAAGAAUGGUUUUGACCAAUCAACCAUGACCAUCACACAGUUAUAUGUUGAAAAUGGAUU